rnacentral:rRNA from 1 species
UACAGAGGUCUCAAGCGCUGUUCGGAUUCAUUGGGCGUAAAGGGUGCGUAGGCGGCGCGGUAAGUCGGGUGUGAAAUCUUGGAGCUUAACUCCGAAACUGCAUUCGAUACUGCCGUGCUUGAGGACUGGAGAGGAGACUGGAAUUUACGGUGUAGCGGUGAAAUGCGUAGAUAUCGUAAGGAAGACCAGUGGCGAAGGCGAGUCUCUGGACAGUUCCUGACGCUGAAGCACGAAGGCCAGGGGAGCAAACGGG